rnacentral:rRNA from 1 species
AGCGAACGCUGGCGGCAGGCCUAACACAUGCAAGUCGAACGAAGUCUUCGGACUUAGUGGCGGACGGGUGAGUAACACGUGGGAACGUGCCUUUAGGUUCGGAAUGACUCAGGGAAACUUGUGCUAAUACCGAAUGUGCCCUUCGGGGGAAAGAUUUAUCGCCUUUAGAGCGGCCCGCGUCUGAUUAGCUAGUUGGUGAGGUAGAGGCUCACCAAGGCUACGAUCAGUAGCUGGUCUGAGAGGAUGACCAGCCACAUUGGGACUGAGACACGGCCCAAACUCCUACGGGAGGCAGCAGUGGGGAAUCUUGCGCAAUGGGCGAAAGCCUGACGCAGCCAUGCCGCGUGGAUGAUGAAGGUCUUAGGAUUGUAAAAUCCUUUCACCGGUGAAGAUAAUGACUGUAGCCGGAGAAGAAGCCCCGGCUAACUUCGUGCCAGCAGCCGCCGUAAAAC